ensembl:lncRNA
UUUUAAUUAAUGAGAUGUUGACAAGGUUUUGAAACUCUGUAUUAUUUUAAUUUUGUUUACUGAUCAUUUUUGUGAUGGUUAAUGUUUUGUUAGACUGAGGAAGGAAGAUGUAAUCAACUCUGCCUUUGCUUGGCUCCGGUGAAAGCUGGCCAGUGUUUUAUACAGAAAUCGAUGUUAUGCAAUGGUAGCUGUCUCCUUGCAAUGGCUCAGGGCCCCUCCAGUGAUGGAGGCACAAUUGAAUUUUGCUGCAAAGAGGAUGAAAAACAAAUAAUUGGAAUGCACUGGCUCUACAAGAAAUACUGCAUUGCCAUCUUUGGAAGGAUGCUCUUAGAGGAAAGACGACUAAGGAGCACCAGCACUGCCUGGCCAAAUCAUGCAGUGGUGCUGCCCUUGUGUUUUGACCAUCUCAAUCCUGUGUGCUGCUUGCACAGUGGAGAUGCACACAACCUUCUUCAGUUAUGAGCUAUGGAAACCCCACAAACAAAAGUCAGUGACAAACAUCAUCUAUAAGUGAAGAUUUAUCACCCAAGAUAAAGGUGACCUAAGACCUGUGGCCCUGUUUCUUGUUAUGUUUGUUGAUUGCUACAGAAGAGAAAAUCACAGUCUUGGGAACAAUUCCUUCAGCUUCUCUCCUUCCUUCUCACACGCCAAGGAACAAUGAAAGUGACCACCCCCAGCUUCCAAGAUGGAUGAUCAGCCAACCUGCACCUCAUGUGCUGCGCUGUCCACAGCUGCGAUGAGCUAACUCCUUGAGCACAAAGGACCGUCACCUAAUCCAGAACUACUGUGAGGAUCACAGUAAUGGACAGGAGCAUUUGAAAGUUACCAAGUGAUGAGAAUUCCUCAUGUUCUGUUAAGGAAUUAACAGAACAAGACAGAAAUUGAACUAUCUGAAGCAUAAUAUGUAUCAUCACCCCUCUU